UAGAAGUUCUUACCAUACUUUAACUGUCACUAGCUUUGUUCAUUGUCAUGGUGAUAUUUGUUUGAAUGUGUACAUACAGUUUUAUUGUGUACGGCACUUUUUGUGUGAGAUGCUAGCUCACUUCUCUCAGGCUAGCUUAAUGAAGAGCACACGUGUGGAUUCUUAUGCGCUGGUUCUUUUCUCCCUCUCAUUUAAAGGUGUGCUAUGUGCGUGUAGGAACCCAGAGCUGCUGUACUGAUUUAAUUGUGUGUUGUACACAGGUAUGCAAAAUAAAACCCCCGUUCAACUGGCAAAGCAGAAGAUGUCUGUCGUCCAUUACUACGCAUACUGAAAUUGAGGGAGUGUCAGGCCAGACCGGCUACA